rnacentral:rRNA from 1 species
UACGUAGGGUGCGAGCGUUGUCCGGAUUUAUUGGGCGUAAAGAGCUCGUAGGCGGUUUGUCGCGUCGGCCGUGAACUCUACCACGCUUAACGUGGAGCGUGCGGUCGAUACGGGCAGACGUUGAGUUCGGUAGGGGAGACUGGAAUUCCGUGGUGUAGCGGUGAAAUGCGCAGAUAAUCAGGAGGAACACCGGUGGCGAAGGCGGGUCUCUGGGCCGAUACUGACGCUGAGGAGCGAAAGCGUGGGGAGCGAACAGG